GGCCCCCUGCUGUGUUCGUGAUGCCGUCAAGGUUUUGGGCCAACACGAACCAAACGGGCGUUGAGUCAUCACUGUAAUGCGAUAGGCAUGCGGCGGCUGAAGUCGGCGCGGUAGCCAAGGCAAAGCAGCGAGCGAGGCGCCCCGCCUGCCAAAGCAGGCGCAAAACCGAAGCGGUCACACGACAUGGUGGGGUGCAU
rnacentral:other from 1 species